CCACAGGUUGUUCAGCAAGGAUGCCACAUGGUCAUCAUUUGAGACCUCCUGCUAGCCUCCCCAUUGAUGUUGUGUGUUGGAAGCCAACAAAGAAGGUUGCAAAUGAUAAACAUGUGACUGUGAGAUGCUGUGAUGGCUCCAAAGAUCACUUAAAUGAAGAGGAGAUUGAUGAGUUUGAUGAUCAAGUUCAGUCUGAAAUCAACAGGACAUGCAAGCAAGAUGGGCUGCUUGUGAUUGGAAAGUGGAAGGCCAGAGUUGGAAAUAAUUAUGGAGGAAAAUGUUAGAGUGUAUGGCUCAGGAAACCGAAAAGAAAUAGGGGUGUGACCUAUCAAUUUCGGGCACUUCCAUGAUGUCUUCAUUGCCAACACAGUCCUCAAACAACCAAAAUGACACUUCUAUACACGGACAUCACCAGAUGGACAACACAGAAAUCAAAUAGACUGUAUAAUUGCUAAAAGGUGGAGGAGAUGCUCAGUUAUAAAUCUAAUAAAUAAAUAAAUUCCAAAACA